AACGCACAUUGCGGCCGCGGGUCACUCCCGCGGCCACGCCUGUCCGAGGGUCGGCUACUCUGGUACUCGCCGGGUGCAUCAUCUGCAUCCGGCGCGCUGGCGCGUCGCUCGCCGUUUCACCACGGCGACCGUCCGCCUCGAGACUGCAGCUUCGCUAACGUCCUCCGGCCUCACCGGGUCGGCGGCUCCAAAAACCGUUGCCGGUCUUCGGGGACGGGGUUCGGAUCGAACUGGUUCUCCCCCCGACGAAACAACGGAACCGCCCGCACUCCGCCUCCCGGGGGGGCGACGGGGGCACGGGUAAAAAGGGGACGUUUCGGUCGAAAAGUCGGCGGCGGGGGCCAUCGUGCCGUCGCCCGCCCGACAAACACAAACUAGCUCCGACCUCGGAUCAAACGAAACUACCCGCUGAACUUAAGCAUAUCAGUAAGCGGAGGAAAAGAAACUAACAAGGAUUCCCUC
rnacentral:rRNA from 1 species